GUAAUACAGCCUUGUUAUUAAUUGGGCUUCAAAACCAUCAAACUGGAUAAAAUCACAGGAGCAAAUGUCAGCAAGUCAUUUGAACGCAAAACAUUCCAUAAAAAGGUUCUAAUUACACAUAUCAAUAAUUGACCACCACCGCCAGCAGUCCCCGAGGGAAACACAAUGACUAACACACCUAAAAACCUUCCUUUUUAUUGCAUUUAGAAAUUAGAAUUCAUCUUUUACCCACAAUUGGCUAUCAACAAAAUAUCAUAUGGAAAUGACUUGCUUCUUAUCAAUUGAACCCA
rnacentral:misc_RNA from 1 species